rnacentral:rRNA from 1 species
CCAAUAGCGUAUAUUAAAGUUGUUGCAGUUAAAAAGCUCGUAGUUGAAUUUCGGGAUUAGUGCGCCGGUCGUGCCUUCGGUAUGUACUGGUGUUACUGGUUCCUACCUUCUGACGAACCGUCAUGUCAUUAAUUUGGUGUGGCGGGGAAUCAGGACUGUUACUUUGAAAAAAUUAGAGUGUUUAAAGCAGGCUCGCGCUUGAAUACAUUAGCAUGGAAUAAUGAAAUAGGACGUUCGAUCCUAUUCUGUUGGUUUCUAGGAUUGACGUAAUGAUUAAUAGGGAUAGUUGGGGGCAUUAGUAUUCAAUUGUCAGAGGUGAAAUUCUUGGAUUUAUUGAAGACUAACUACUGCGAAAGCAUUUGCCAAGGAUGUUUUCAUUAAUCAAGAACGAAAGUUAGGGGAUCGAAGACGAUCAGAUACCGUCGUAGUCUUAACCAUAAACUAUGCCGACUAGGGAUCGGAUGAUGUUAUUUUUAAUGACUCAUUCGGCGCCUUACG